GCAAGUCUGGUGCCAGCAGCCGCGGUAAUUCCAGCUCCAAUAGCGUAUAUUAAAGUUGUUGCAGUUAAAAAGCUCGUAGUUGAACCUUGGGUCUGGCUGGCCGGUCCGCCUCACCGCGUGUACUGGUCCGGCCGGGCCUUUCCUCCUGGGGAGCCGCAUGCCCUUCACUGGGUGUGUCGGGGAACCAGGACUUUUACUUUGAAAAAAUUAGAGUGUUCAAAGCAGGCCUAUGCUCGAAUACAUUAGCAUGGAAUAAUAGAAUAGGACGUGUGGUUCUAUUUUGUUGGUUUCUAGGACCGCCGUAAUGAUUAAUAGGGAUAGUCGGGGGCAUCAGUAUUCAAUUGUCAGAGGUGAAAUUCUUGGAUUUAUUGAAGACUAACUACUGCGAAAGCAUUUGCCAA
rnacentral:rRNA from 1 species